AGGGGAAGUCUGGUGCCAGCAGCCGCGGUAAUUCCAGCUCCAAUAGCGUAUAUUAACGUUGUUGCAGUUAAAAAGCUCGUAUUUGAAGUGUGGGUGAUCGCUGUUGUGACACUUCGGUCUCUCGACAGUAAGUCACCCCCUUCCAGUAUCCAGUAGUGGGUAUUCAGUUACUUACUAUUGUGUGUUGGUCGUUUACUGUGAGAAAAUUAAAGUGUUCAAAGCAGGCGUUUGCUUGAAUAAAUUAACAUGGAAUAAUAAUUGAAGUCUUUCCUGUUCGAUUUGAUUGGUUUGUUCUUGGAAGCAAGGUUAAAAGGAACAGUUGGGGGUAUUCAUAUUCACUAGUUAGAGGUGAAAUUCUCGGAUUUAUGGAAAAUGAACAAGUGCGAAAGCA
rnacentral:rRNA from 1 species